AAGCGGGAAGAAGCUUCAAAUUUAUUAAUCUGGCACCUUCGGUGUCCGAGUUGUAAUCUCUAGAAGUGUUUUCCGCGUUGGACCGCACACAAGUCUGUUGGAAUACAGCGGCACAGUGGUGAUACCCCCGUACACGGUGCGGACGCCCAGCGCUUUGUGAUACACUUUCAAUGAGUCGAGUUGUUUGGGAAUGCAGCUCAAAUUGGGUGGUAAAUUCCAUCUAAAGCUAAAUAUUGGCGAGAGACCGAUAGCGAACAAGUACCGUGAGGGAAAGAUGAAAAGCACUUUGGAAAGAGAGUUAACAGUACGUGAAAUUGUUGGAAGGGAAACGCUUGAAGUCAGACUUGCUUGCCGGAGCUUGCUUCGGUUUGCAGGCCAGCAUCAGUUUUCCGGGGUGGAUAAUGGUGGUUUGAAGGUAGCAGCCUCGGCUGUGUUAUAGCUUUCCACUGGAUACAUCCUGGGGGACUGAGGAACGCAGCGUGCUUUUUGCGAAGGUUUCGACCUUUUCACGCUUAGGAUGCUGGUGUAAUGACUUUAAACGACCCGUCUU
rnacentral:rRNA from 1 species